GAGCCCCAGAAAAUUUAUCGAGCUUAAAUUGAGAUCGUUCAACAAAUUAUUUAUUUACUAUCUCGGUAAUUAUCAAAGUGCUCGAGAAUAUUUUCAGAAAUUUUUGUACAUUGAAAUCCUCGAUUUAAGGAUUAGAUAAUAAAGUACACGUCAUGACGAGUUCGUGGAAAUUUUCGGAGAAGUUUUCGGAUACUCGGACUAUUUAUCGUGGCUAUCUGAAGUUUUGGGAUUUUGAAAAUUAAUUCAAGAAAUAGAAGACAGGUGGAGCGAUCCCAGCCAUCCACCUCUUCCACCGCUUCAUCAGGGACGUCCACUGUUAAUUGGGUCAGUUUAUAUAUAUGAGUCUUGACCCGUGGGAACACCGGAAGUAUCGAGAAAGGGAGAGAACCAGAGUUCUCUGACCCGAAAGAGAGAGAGAGAGACGACCCGGAAGGGAAACCCGACCAGAGGGACGCCGUCCGGCCCCCCCCACGACGGCGCGCGGCCACCAAUAGCUUCGUCUCGUCGUCGCCGUCACGCCUGUGGCCUUUGAUCGCCCAUGCACCGGACGAGGAGGGAGACUCGACGGUGAGAAGCAGCGACUGCUCUGGCGAGUUUCUGCGAUUCCGGCCACCAUCUGGCCUGUAAUUGACAAGGAAUUGGGCAGUUGGCUAGGUAGAUCACGUUGACAUCCUCAGUUCAUCAUCUGCCUAGUUUCCUCAAGGAGUUUGGUUUGGUUGCAGUUGGAUUUUGAAGGUAUAAUUCAAAAUCUUGAAUUGAAGUUUGGUUAUUGUGAUGCAAAUCCGAAGUUAGUAGCUUGAGUUGGUAUAUCUGUUGCUGGUACUGAAACUUUGGAUUUGUUUGUAUAUGCAAUGAACUGUGGCGUUGUGGUAGAGCUCAGAUUUCCUUGGUUGUGUGUUUAGUUUGUUAAGUUGUUGUGAGUUACUAUUCUGGUAUUUUUAUUAUGGUUUAUAAAAUGAAUUGUCAAGGAAAUGGAUUUGAUGGGUGGAAUUGGUCACAUGUGAUUUGGGUGUCCAUAGUAAAUUUGGUCGAAUUACUAUGUGACAAAAUGCAAAGUGAAAGUAAAAGACCAAGUGUCGUUGACGAAA